AACGCAGGAGAACAAUUCCUCAAGAAUGAUCCUUACAGCACAGUGUCCCUGCUCUCAGAAGAGGAGAAAGAAACAGCCAGGAAACAGACCAUACCCUCCUUGAAAGAGCUUCUUGAAUUUGCGACACAGCACAAUACCUCAGUGAUAUUUGACCUGAAAAAUAAAGAAACAGAAGAAAUGGACACAAAUGACACAGUAAAGACCAUCUUAGAGUCUGGCAUUCCUCAAAGUCUGAUUCUUUGGCUUCCUUCUAAAGAACGAGAAGUUGUAAAGAAGCAGGCCCCAGACUUUAUCCAGGUUUAUGAAAAUGAAACGGAUUUGGAAAAAAAUAACGGGAGCCACCUAAAUGUGAAAUACAGCGAAAUAAAAAUGAAAAACAUCAGGUAAGAAAUAAAUAGGUGGGUAAGAAAUCUCAAUAUUAUCUACAGUACAUGUUGGUGCCAGGGGCCAUGCACAGCAGUGUGUUAAUUAAAGCUGCGUGUAGCAUGCUGAGACACAGCUCUGACACUUAAUAUAGGGGCGUAGGAUUGGCCUCCAGGAUACAAGAUUCAAAUAAUGUCCCAACCCAGGUGUUCUGUUCAAUGGCUUAGCAAAAGAACCAACUAAAGAAUGAAAUGCAGUGUAGCAACAUGUUUUAAGAAGUCGCUGAAGCGCUUCACUGAGUGCAAAACAAACUCACCGUGGCGUGGCCUUGCUACAAUGUCUCGCAAAAUAAAACUAUUCCUGGGUGGCACAAUUAAUGCAUAAGUACUACUCAAAUAUGUGUGACUUAUUAGGGGUCAUCAGGGAUUUGUAAUGUGCAGACUGGGCGUACAUAACUCAUUAUCCUUAUCCUUAUACU